AGCGAACGCUGGCGGCAGGCUUAACACAUGCAAGUCGAACGGGCAUAGCAAUAUGUCAGUGGCAGACGGGUGAGUAACGCGUGGGAACGUACCUUUUGGUUCGGAACAACACAGGGAAACUUGUGCUAAUACCGGAUAAGCCCUUACGGGGAAAGAUUUAUCGCCGAAAGAUCGGCCCGCGUCUGAUUAGCUAGUUGGUAGGGUAAUGGCCUACCAAGGCGACGAUCAGUAGCUGGUCUGAGAGGAUGAUCAGCCACAUUGGAACUGAGACACGGCCCAAACUCCUACGGGAGGCAGCAGUGGGGAAUAUUGGACAAUGGGCGAAAGCCUGAUCCAGCCAUGCCGCGUGAGUGAUGAAGGCCCUAGGGUUGUAAAGCUCUUUUGUGCGGGAAGAUAAUGACGGUACCGCAAGAAUAAGCCCCGGCUAACUUCGUG
rnacentral:rRNA from 1 species